AUACGUAGGGGGCGAGCGUUGUCCGGAAUGAUUGGGCGUAAAGGGCGCGUAGGCGGCCCGGCAAGUCUGGAGUGAAAGUCCUGUUUUUAAGAUGGGAAUUGCUUUGGAUACUGUCGGGCUUGAGUGCAGGAGGGGUAAGUGGAAUUCCCAGUGUAGCGGUGAAAUGCGUAGAGAUUGGGAGGAACACCAGUGGCGAAGGCGACUUACUGGACUGUCACGGACGCUGAGGCGCGAAGGUGUGGGGAGCAAACAGGAUUAGAUUCCCUGGUAGUCCCCGCUGUAAACGAUGAAUGCUAGGUGUAGGGGGUAUCGACCCCUUCUGUGCCGCAGUCAACACAAUAAGCAUUCCGCCUGGGGAGUACGGCCGCAGGGUUGAAACUCAAAUGAAUUGACGGGG
rnacentral:rRNA from 1 species